AAUAAAUUAUGCCCUCAUGUGUCUUUGUGGAAACUCCACAGACAGCUCUCUCUGCUUUAUGCUGUUUUUAGUGGAGAGGUAUGGCACCAGAAAUAAACACUCAAAUAUGUAUACAAUCAUAAAUUAUGACAAGCUUCUCAAAGAAAAAAAUCCCAAAUUUCUAAUUAAUGAACUUUUAGAUGAUAAGAAGUAUCAUUUAAAGUCACCAAAUUGUGAUAAUAUAUAAUUAUAUACCAUAUAUAUUUCCCAAAUAUAUGCACAUAUAUUUUUUAAAACAGAAGUCCUGAACGUCAUUAAUUUUCCACGAAUACCCACCACCACGACCCGCAUGGAACGUUCGCUGAGGUCAGAGGGCAGCCGACCUCGGGGCUGGGCAGCCUGAAGUGUCUCAGAAGCUGCUUCUGUUUCUCCAGGUCCUUCCACACCUCCUGGAGCACGUAGACCAGGGGACACAGGACUGAUGCAGAUGACGUCAUCUGUGCAGGCUGCCCCGACAGCGCUGGCACUGGGUCCAGAGCACGAGAAGCGAUGCUCUGGGGCGUUCAGGCGCGACACCUCUCUCUGACACGGCCCUGACUCCCGGGCUGGCAGAAUUUGCACAGGGCUCCCUGGUUGCCCAGGAGGACAGUGCGGCAGCAGACGCAGCAAUUGUGGCAUUUGGGGAAGGUCAGGAGGCCGCUUACCUUGCCAAUCAGGGCCGUCUUGCGAAGCCUCUGGUCCCCACACGGCCCUGGCCCAGCAAGGGCUGGAAGCCGUCAGGAGCCACCUGGCAGUGUCCUGGAUGUCCCUGGCAGGCUGCUCUCCAGCACGACCCCGAGGAGUCCACACCCUUGACGGCACCAGUGAUCACAUAAAGAACAUAGUUGCCCAGACUGGUGCCGUCCCCGGGUCCCCCUUCCUCAUCCUCCAGGGCCAGCUCCGUGGGGGCCUGCUUACCCUGCUGACCCUGGGCAGCUGGGAGAUGGCCCUGCGAUUGCACAGCAGAUGAGUACUUCAUCUAUAGACAAAAAAAACACAUGGAAGUAAUGAUUAUGGAGCAAAAAUUGCAUUUGGCAUCAUUGCUGACUAAUUAUGAUGCACACUGAUUUGGAAAUGAGAUUGAAAUUAAAAGUAGCAUUUGUCAUGGCAGUCUUCAUUCCUCCAAAGCUUUUAGCCAGAAGUUCAUUUAUCUAACGAAGAUAUAUAUUUGCCAGGCACUGUAAAUAAUGGAAGAAAGAAGACAAGGAUGUGGAGGAGAGACAGAUGGAAAGAGGAGGGGGGGGGGAAGAAAAUGAAAAGGAAAAAAAAAUGUGAUCUUUUACCCAAGAGCUUAAAAUCUAAGUGAAGAAAGGAGUGAAGUGAAGAAAGAAGGUGGAUAAACAGGAGUGAAUUAAAUCUUAAUUCUUUAUUAUGCAAAGUUUCUCUUUUCAUUGACUUCUAAUAAAUAAAUUGAAUAAAAUAACUUGUAAUUAAUU
rnacentral:lncRNA from 1 species